AUUGAACGCUGGCGGCAGGCUUAACACAUGCAAGUCGAGCGGAGAUGAGGUGCUUGCACCUUAUCUUAGCGGCGGACGGGUGAGUAAUGCUUAGGAAUCUGCCUAUUAGUGGGGGACAACAUUCCGAAAGGAAUGCUAAUACCGCAUACGUCCUACGGGAGAAAGCAGGGGAUCUUCGGACCUUGCGCUAAUAGAUGAGCCUAAGUCGGAUUAGCUAGUUGGUGGGGUAAAGGCCUACCAAGGCGACGAUCUGUAGCGGGUCUGAGAGGAUGAUCCGCCACACUGGGACUGGAGCACGGCCCAGACUCCUACGGGAGGCAGCAGUGGGGAAUAUUGGACAAUGGGGGGAACCCUGAUCCAGCCAUGCCGCGUGUGUAAAGAAGGCCUUAUGGUUGUAAAGCACUUUAAGCGAGGAGGAGGCUACUGAGACUAAUACUCUUGGAUAGUGGACGUUACUCGCAGAAUAAGCACCGGCUAACUCUGUGCCAGCCGCCGCGGUAAAAC
rnacentral:rRNA from 1 species